UUUUAGGUUUUUCCUUUUUAGUGUUUUUGAAUUGCUGUUGUAGAGAUAUUGGAAGCACAGUUUGAUGAUCCUGGGGAGCGUGCACAGCACUGAGCCAUCUGCUUCUUGCCAAGGAAUUGCUGCUCUCUGUCUGCCAGAUAUAAAGGGCUUUUCCUUAAAAAUCUCUCAUGUGAUUACACUGACAUCUGGAGUUCAGAAGAAGGCUCACCUCGUGGUCUUUGAAAUUUGCUGCAGGAUUGUGUGCCUCUGGAUGUAUACACAUGCACACUCCUUUCAGUAGGACUUUUU